rnacentral:rRNA from 1 species
AUUGAACGCUGGCGGCAGGCCUAACACAUGCAAGUCGAGCGGAGCGGCGGACGGGUGAGUAAUGCCUAGGAAUCUGCCUGGUAGUGGGGGAUAACGUCCGGAAACGGGCGCUAAUACCGCAUACUAUCAGAUGAGCCUAGGUCGGAUUAGCUAGUUGGUGGGGUAAAGGCCUACCAAGGCGACGAUCCGUAACUAGUCUGAGAGGAGGAUAAGUCACACUGGAACUGGGACACGGUCCAGACUCCAUCGGGAGUCAGCGGGGGGGAAUAGUGGACAAUGGGCGAAAGCCAGAGCCAGCCAUGCCGCGUGUGUGAAGAAGGUCUUCGGAUUGUAAAGCACUUUAAGUUGGGAGGCGUUACCAACAGAAUAAGCACCGGCUAACUUCGUGCCAGCAGCCGCGGUAAUUC